AGAGUUUGAUCCUGGCUCAGAACGAACGCUGGCGGCGUGCCUAAUACAUGCAAGUCGUGCGAGAAAGUUCCCUUCGGGGGAUGAGUACAGCGGCGAACGGGUGCGUAACACGUGGGUAAUCUGCCCUCAGAAUGGGGAUAAGCCUUCGAAAGGGGGUCUAAUACCGAAUGAAAUCACCUUAAGGCAUCUUUUGGUGAUCAAAGAUGGCGCAAGCUAUUGUCUGAGGAUGAGCCCGCGCUCCAUUAGCUUGUUGGUGGGGUAAAAGCUCACCAAGGCUACGAUGGAUAGCCGACCUGAGAGGGUGAACGGCCACACUGGGACUGAGAUACGGCCCAGACUCCUACGGGAGGCAGCAGUAGGGAAUAUUGCGCAAUGCCCGCAAGGGUGACGCAGCAACGCCGCGUGUGGAUGAAGCUUCUUGGAGCGUAAACCACUGUCAGUUGGGACGAAAUGCAUUGCUAAGAAACGAGCAGUGUUUGACGGUACCUUCAGAGGAAGCUCCGGCUAACUCCGUGCCAGCAGCCGCGGUAACACGGGGGGAGCAAGCGUUGUUCGGAAUCACUGGGCGUAAAGGGUACGCAGGCGGGAAGACAGGUCGGUUGUGAAAACCCAUGGCUUAACCAUGGGCUUGCAUCCGAAACCAUCUUCCUUGAGUAUCGGAGAGGAAAGCGGAACUCCUGGUGUAGCGGUGAAAUGCGUAGAUAUCAGGAGGAACACCGGUGGCGAAGGCGGCUUUCUGGCUGAAUACUGACGCUCAUGUACGAAGGCUAGGGGAGCAAACAGGAUUAGAUACCCUGGUAGUCCUAGCGGUAAACGAUGGGUACUAGGUGUUGGAGGAGUCGACCCCUUCAGUGCCGAAGCUAACGCAUUAAGUACCCCGCCUGGGGAGUACGACCGCAAGGUUGAAACUCAAAGGAAUUGACGGGGGCCCGCACAAGCAGUGGAGCAUGUGGUUUAAUUCGACGCAACGCGAAGAACCUUACCUGGGUUUGAAAUGUGCAGGAAAACUUCAGAGAUGAAGUCCCUCCGCAAGGAGUCUGUACACAGGUGCUGCAUGGCUGUCGUCAGCUCGUGCCGUGAGGUGUUGGGUUAAGUCCCGCAACGAGCGCAACCCCUGCCCUUAGUUACCAGCGAUUCGGUCGGGGACUCUAAGGGGACUGCCGGUGACAAGCCGGAGGAAGGUGGGGAUGAUGUCAAGUCCUCAUGGCCCUUACGUCCAGGGCUACACACGUGCUACAAUGGCCGGUACAGAGGGUCGCAAGACCGCGAGGUGGAGCCAAUCCCUAAAACCGGUCUCAGUUCAGAUUGGAGUCUGCAACUCGACUCCAUGAAGUUGGAAUUGCUAGUAAUCGCGGAUCAGCAGGUCGCGGUGAAUACGUUCCCGGGCCUUGUACACACCGCCCGUCAAGCCAUGGAAGCUGGGAGUACCCAAAGUCACUUUGCUAACCGCAAGGAAGCGAGUGCCUAAGGUAAAACCAGUGACUGGGGCUAAGUCGUAACAAGGUA
rnacentral:rRNA from 1 species